UUAUGCUUCACAGAGACGUGGCCAUGUGGAUCGAUACCGGACUCUGCACUGCAGCUGGCCAGCGCGUGGUCGUUGACCCUAUAGUGUGUCUGGAGCGGAGAAACCUGGACUCUUUAGUUGCUGUCCUCUGUGACUUUAACAAGGGAAAUCUCAGCCAUUAACUCCCCAAAUACAGACAGCUAAUUAAAUGCCCGACCAGAGAGGAGGAUAUUCUGGAUCACUGUUACACCACAGUGAGCAGUGCCUAUCACUGGGACGUUUUCAGGACCGCUACCAGCAGUCUGGAUGGGUUCAGAGGCUGUGACGUCAUACUUCAGCUUCUGUAAGGACUGCUGUGAACCAUCACGCACCAGGGUGAGUUACAACAACGACAAACCCUGGUUCACAGCUGAACUCAGACAGCUGAGGGUGGAAAAGGAAGAGGCGUUCAGGAGUGGAGACAGGGACAAGUUUAAAGAGUCGAAGUACAGGUUUAGCAAGGCGGUGAGAGAAGCUAAACGACUCAGAGAGACUACAACACCAGUUCUCAGCCAACGACUCUGCUUCUGUCUGGAGGGGGCUCAGAUUGACCACCUGGUGACUGGUGCAGUCAGAACAACCUGGAGCUCAAUGCUCUAAAGACAGCGGAGAUGGUUGUGGAUCACAAGAAGAACCCAGCCCCACCCGCCCCCAUCACCCUGUGUGACUCCCCUGUCGACACUGUGGAGUCCUUCUGCUUCCUGGGCACCAUCAUCACCCGGGACCUCAACUCACCAAGAAAGUCCAGCAAAGGAUGUACUUCCUGUGGCAGCUAACGAAAUUCAACCUGCCAAAGACAACGAUGGUGCACUUCUACACUGCCGUCAUCGAGUCCAUCCUCACCUCCUCCAUCACCAUCUGAUUCGCGGCUGCCACCGCCAAGGACAAGGACAGCCUGCAGCGUAUCAUCACUCCGCAGAGAAGGUGAUUGGCUGCAAUCUACCUUCCCUCCAGGACCUUUACGCCAGGAGGCGUGCAGCGAAGAUGAACCGUUUCAGAUGCUCCCCAUCAUCAGGACCAAAACGGUCUGCAGCCGGCCUCAUCAAGAAAGGCCCCCACUGACACGACACUCAUACCCAUCCACCCCCCCCGUACAAACUCAUCAGAGCGAAGAGUUUAGGUUUGAGGUGGGGGGGGCACGGCAGACGACCUCGACGGACGUCCUGACGAACCUGCAGAAUCUCAAACCGAAGAACUGGAUUUCGACCACCUUCAGGUGAGAAAACACCUGCUGCAAGAUGGCCGCCGCCUUCGAAGAUUUCUGAAGAUAAAAAAAAGACUUCACUUCGUCUCGCUCACUUUACAGAACAAACAUCUUGUUGUGUCUCUCCCUCAGUGUUCGGGUGACUGACAUCACAACACAAAGGAGAAGGAGAGAGAGAGAUCAACAUUUCCUGAUGUAAAAAGAAAUAAGGAGAAAGAAAAGAAAAGGUGAAAACAACGGAAAAAGACAAAUGACAGAAAAGGUUAAAAAAAAACAGGACACAGGAAGUUCUCGCUCACCUUGAUGCCUUGCUCAGCCGUUAGAGUGAUCUUCCUCUCGUCUAAUAAGAGGACUUCGCCAUAAAAUUCCUCCCGAUUGCCACGAAAACAGGCCAUCAUUACUUAAGACAAAAAUAUAAUUUUUUAAAAAUCAUGUUACCUGCAGCAGCUUCAGGUGAUUAAAGAAACACAUGAGACAUCAACCAAUCAGGAGCCAAGUUACAGUUGACUGUGAUUCUGAUAAAAAAUAUAAAUAAAAAAGGACAGCUUCACAGUUUUUCAGUCAGGUGUCCAGAUGAAACCUUUUCCAGUGUUCAUAACAGCACCAAAACAUGUGAAUUUUGAUUUAGUUUUAUAAAUUGUUGUAGAUUUGUAGAUUAAUUUGCUUUAAUCAGCACAGACAGCGAGACAUUAAAACACCAACUUCAGUAUCAGAGUUCAUGUCAAACUGUUACAAUAAUAACAACCUGUCGUGUGAUCAUAGCGCAGAAAAACACUGCAAAUCUGUUUGUUAAUAAAAGGUUAAUAAACAGAUUUGAGUGUUCAGUUUAGUGCUGAGUGAAAUAAGAGCGUGAAUUUUAAAGUAAAACUUCUGAAAUAUGUGUCUGGCCUUCAGAAUAAAAGCAAUGAAUCAUAAUCUGCAAAGAACAAAACAGUUUGAAUAAAUGAAAUGAAGCAUUUAAAAGUCACAGUGGAUAAAUGAAACAGACUGAUAAUUUUCAUUAAAAAUAAUAAGAAAAUAGUUAAAUACUCCUUUUAUGAUGGACAGAGUGUAGUUAAUCGAGUGUGUGCAGCAUUUCUCCUCAGACAGACUCCCUCUCUUCAGUUCAUUUCUUUGUUCCAUCCACUCUUGACAUAAUAAGGGUUUGAAAUGUUUUGACAACAUUUUUAUCAAUAAUUGUUUUGCAUCUUUCUCUCAGCUGACAGAAACCAGGACCCAUUUUUUCAAGUACUUACAACCUUUAUUCCCCAGUUCCCAGAGAAACCCCCUCAUGAUCCUGCAGACACAUUUCUGUCUUUAAAUCCUCUCCUGACAGCAUCCAUGUCAGUUCUGUAGUCUUUCAUCUCAAACAUAAGCUGCACCACCUCAACUAUUACAACACAACCUAGAUUUAAAUUUUUCAGAUCACAUGUGAGCAAGAUACAUUACUCUUCUAUGUGCGUACACACUUAUAGAUCUUCCCCCUGCAUUGAUACCUUUAAAACUAAAGACUCAUCUCUUUUCUUUAGCCUCUUAAUUGUCAUCAUGGAGACAUGCCUGACCACACAUUUUAUUUGUUGUGCAAUGCUGUUUGUGUUGUGAUUUUCUCAAGAUAUUCUAUGCUUUUGUUAAUUUAUUUACAUCCUCUUAUUUAUGUCUGUUUUUAUUUGAUAAUUUCUGUGUUUAUAUUUGAUCAUCCCUGUGUUUUUGUUUGAUUGUAAUCAUCAAUCAAAUAAUACUGUAAUUUAAUCUCUCUGUAAAGCCCUUUGGUCAGUGUUUGUUGUUUUUAAAUGUGCUCUAUAGAUAAAUUGACUUGACUCAUACAAUUCAAAGGAAUACAUCAUACUCAUAUUUCCAAAACCGAACUAGCUUGAAUUAAACCUGAGGUGGUUCUGUGCCUA